AUAUUUUGGUAAGUUAUGGGUUUUACUUCCACUUUCAAGAAGAAACACAAAAGACUCAGCGAAUUAUGGCCAACCUCUGCAUCCAGAGGUAGGUGAUGACAACCCCGACCAUGAUAUGCCAGGAGCUGGAGCUGUAACAACAGACCCUUCUCAAAGUGUUGAAAGAGGUAUUCAUGACAACAGAAACAGACCCAGUAACCAUGUGAUGGUGGAAAGCCAUCCCUGUUUCAUCUGACAUGUCUUCUGCGGAGUCCCUCGAGGCAGAUGGUGUUCACUCUGCGAAGAAGCCACACCAUGGUUAAGCUUUAGAUUAUUGGAGUCCAAUUCAAGGGAGCUCAAUCUCACGACUGCUUUCUUAACCAGUUUUUUUUAAUAUUUCAUAAACCGGAUAAGUAUCACUAUAGCUAUUUUCCUCAGUGUUUAACUUUUAAAUGUAUUUCCUCUUCUUUAUGAAUUCUGCAGCUUCAAAGAAGCUAUGUUUGCUUC